AUUGAACGCUGGCGGCAGGCUUAACACAUGCAAGUCGAGCGGGGUGAUGGUGCUUGCACUAUCACUUAGCGGCGGACGGGUGAGUAAUGCUUAGGAAUCUGCCUAUUAGUGGGGGACAACAUCUCGAAAGGGAUGCUAAUACCGCAUACGUCCUACGGGAGAAAGCAGGGGAUCACUUGUGACCUUGCGCUAAUAGAUGAGCCUAAGUCGGAUUAGCUAGUUGGUGGGGUAAAGGCCUACCAAGGCGACGAUCUGUAGCGGGUCUGAGAGGAUGAUCCGCCACAAUGGAACUGGGACACGGCCCAGACUCCUACGGGAGGCAGCAGUGGGGAAUAUUGGACAAUGGGGGGAACCCUGAUCCAGCCAUGCCGCGUGUGUGAAGAAGGCCUUAUGGUUGUAAAGCACUUUAAGCGAGGAGGAGGCUCUUUUGGUUAAUACCCAAGAUGAGUGGACGUUACUCGCAGAAUAAGCACCGGCUAACUCUGUGCCAGCCGCCGCCGUAA
rnacentral:rRNA from 1 species